UGGGGAAUAUUGGACAAUGGGCGAAAGCCUGAUCCAGCAAUGCCGCGUGUGUGAUGAAGGCCUUCGGGUCGUAAAGCACUUUCAGUUGGGAAGAGGGCUUGUUAGCUAAUACCUGACAAGUUGACGUUACCAUCAAAAGAAGCACCGGCUAACUCUGUGCCAGCAGCCGCGGUAAUACAGAGGGUGCGAGCGUUAAUCGGAAUUACUGGGCGUAAAGGGCACGUAGGUUGGUAUUUAAGUCAGAUGUGAAAUCCUCGAGCUCAACUUGAGAACUGCAUUUGAUACUGAAUACCUAGAGUUUGGUAGAGGGAAGUGGAAUUUCCGAUGUAGCGGUGAUAUGCAUAGAUAUCGGAAGGAACACCAGUGGCGAAGGCGGCUUCCUGGACCAAUACUGACACUGAGGUGCGAAAGCGUGGGUAGCAAACAGG
rnacentral:rRNA from 1 species